AGAGUUUGAUCCUGGCUCAGAGCGAACGCUGGCGGCGUGCUUAACACAUGCAAGUCGAACGCGCAGCAUCCUGUAGCAAUACAGGGUGUGGGCGCGUGGCGAACGGGUGCGUAACACGUGGAUAACCUUCCUUCAGGUGGGGAAUAACCCAGUGAAAAUUGGGCUAAUACCGCAUAACAUCGCGAUGGCACAUGCUGUUGCGUUCAAAGGCGCAAGUCGCCAGAAGAGGGAUCCGCGGCCGAUUAGCUUGUUGGCGGGGUAACGGCCCACCAAGGCUUUGAUCGGUAGCCGGACUGAGAGGUUGGCCGGCCACACUGGAACUGAGACACGGUCCAGACUCCUACGGGAGGCAGCAGUGGGGAAUCUUGCACAAUGGACGAAAGUCUGAUGCAGCAACGCCGCGUGGGGGAUGAAGCUUCUCGGAGUGUAAACCCCUUUCGACCCGGACGAAUGCCCGCAAGGGUUUGACGGUACGGGUAUAAGAAGCCCCGGCUAACUACGUGCCAGCAGCCGCGGUAAUACGUAGGGGGCCAGCGUUGCUCGGAAUUACUGGGCGUAAAGGGUCCGUAGGCGGUGCGGCAAGUCGAUAGUGAAAUCUCUGGGCUUAACCCAGAGGCUGCUAACGAAACUGCCGUGCUANAGUGUGA
rnacentral:rRNA from 1 species